rnacentral:rRNA from 1 species
UACGGAGGGGGCUAGCGUUGUUCGGAAUUACUGGGCGUAAAGCGUACGUAGGCGGCUUUGUAAGUUAGAGGUGAAAGCCCGGGGCUCAACCCCGGAAUUGCCUUUAAGACUGCAUCGCUUGAAUCGCGGAGAGGUGAGUGGAAUUCCGAGUGUAGAGGUGAAAUUCGUAGAUAUUGGGAAGAACACCGGUGGCGAAGGCGGCUCACUGGCCCGUAACUGACGCUCAGGCGCGAUAGCGUGGGGAUCAAACAGG